rnacentral:rRNA from 1 species
AGAGCGAACGCUGGCGGCAGGCCUAAUACAUGCAAGUCGAACGGAUCCUUCGGGAUUAGUGGCGGACGGGUGAGUAACACGUGGGAACGUGCCCUUUGGUUCGGAACAAGCCGGGGAAACCUGGUCUAAUGCCGAAUGUGCCCUUCGGGGGAAAGAUUUAUCGCCAUUGGAGCGGCCCGCGUCUGAUUAGCUUGUUGGUGGGGUAAAGGCCCACCAAGGCUACGAUCAGUAGCUGGUCUGAGAGGAUGAUCAGCCACACUGGGACUGAGACACGGCCCAGACUCCUACGGGAGGCAGCAGUAGGGAAUCUUGCGCAAUGGGCGAAAGCCUGAACGAGUGACGCCGCGUGCGGGAUGACGCCUUUCGGGGUGUAAACCGCUUUUCCCAGGGACGAGGAUGGACGGUACUUGGGGAAUAAGUCUCGGCUAACUACGUGCCAGCAGCCGCGGUAAUACGUAGGAGGCGAGCGUUGUCCGGAAUUACUGGGCGUAAAGCGCGCGUAGGCGGUCUUUUGCGUAGGCGGUGAAAGCCCCAGGCUCACCUUGGGGAGGUCCGUCUAAACGGGGAGACUAGAGGGCGGUAGGGGUUGGCGGAACGCCCGGAGUAGCGGUGAAAUGCGUUGAGAUCGGGCAGAACACCAGUGGCGAAGGCGGCCGACUGGGCCGUCCCUGACGCUGAGGCGCGAAAGCCAGGGGAGCGAACGGAAUUAGAUACUCCGGUAGUCCUGGCCC